AACGAACGCUGGCGGCAUGCCUAACACAUGCAAGUUGAACGAGAAAGCGGCUUCGGCCGUGAGUAGAGUGGCGCACGGGUGAGUAACGCGUGGGAACCUGCCAAGCAGUGGGGAAUAACCUCGGGAAACUGAGGCUAAUACCGCAUACGCCCUUCGGGGGAAAGAUUUAUCGCUGUUUGAUGGUCCCGCGUCCGAUUAGCUAGUUGGUAAGGUAAUGGCUUACCAAGGCGACGAUCGGUAGCUGGUCUGAGAGGAUGAUCAGCCACACUGGAACUGAGACACGGUCCAGACUCCUACGGGAGGCAGCAGUGGGGAAUAUUGGACAAUGGGCGCAAGCCUGAUCCAGCAAUGCCGCGUGAGUGAAGAAGGCCCUAGGGUUGUAAAACUCUUUCAGUAGUGAUGAUGAUGACAGUAACUACAGAAGAAGCACCGGCUAACUUCGU
rnacentral:rRNA from 1 species